AGAGUUUGAUCCUGGCUCAGGAUGAACGCUGGCGGCGUGCUUAACACAUGCAAGUCGAACGGACUCUUCGGAGUUAGUGGCGGACGGGUGAGUAACGCGUGAGAAUCUGGCUUCAGGAGGGGGACAACAGUUGGAAACGACUGCUAAUACCCCAUAUGCCUAAGGGUGAAAGGAGCAAUCCGCCUGAAGAUGAGCUCGCGUCCGAUUAGCUAGUUGGUGAGGUAAGAGCUUACCAAGGCGACGAUCGGUAGCUGGUCUGAGAGGAUGAUCAGCCACACUGGGACUGAGACACGGCCCAGACUCCUACGGGAGGCAGCAGUGGGGAAUUUUCCGCAAUGGGGGCAACCCUGACGGAGCAACGCCGCGUGCGGGAAGACGGCCUGUGGGUUGUAAACCGCUUUUCUCGGGGAAGAAGAACUGACGGUACCUGAGGAAUCAGCAUCGGCUAACUCCGUGCCAGCAGCCGCGGUAAUACGGAGGAUGCAAGCGUUAUCCGGAAUUAUUGGGCGUAAAGCGUCCGCAGGCGGCUUUUCAAGUCUGCUGUUAAAGGUCGGGGCUCAACUCCGGUUCGGCAGUGGAAACUGAAAGGCUAGAGUGCAGUA
rnacentral:rRNA from 1 species